AUGGACCUUUCUCGAAACAACUUGUCUGGUCAAGUUCCGGACUUCUUUGAGGCUUUCAGCUCCCUGUCACUUCUCAAUUUGUCAUUCAACAACCUGGAGGGACCCAUGCCAACUGGUGGGAUCUUCCAAAAUGCAAGCAAGGUGUUCGUCCAAGGGAACAAAGAGUUGCGUGCUGUCUCGCCACUAUUGAGUUUGCCACUUUGCCACACAGCUGCCUCUCAACAAAGGCAUAGAUCCAACAUUGCGAAUAUAGUAGGAUUUUCUGUUCUUGCCUUAGUGAUGUUAUCAUGUUUUGGAGUCAUUUUCUUGAAGAAGAGAAAGAAAGUCAAACAAGAAGAUCAUCCAUCCUUUGAGGAGUUAAAGAAGUUCACAUAUGCUGAUUUAGUGAAAGCAACAAAUGGUUUCUCUUUAGCCAACUUGGUUGGUUCAGGAAAGUAUGGGUCCGUAUACAAAGGUAGAAUCGAGUCUGAAGAACAUGCAGUUGCCAUAAAAGUUUCCAAACUUGAUCAGCCUGGAGCGACAAAAAGCUUCAUUGCUGAAUGUCAGGCACUCAGAAACACUCGUCAUCGUAAUCUUGUGAGGGUGAUCACUGUAUGCUCGACAAGUGAUCUGACAGGACAUGAGUUCAAAGCUCUUUUCCUUGAAUAUAUGGUUAAUGGCAACCUUGAAAGUUGGCUCCAUCCAACACUCCAUGAGCAUCAUCUGAAAAGGCCCUUGUCUUUGAGUUCAAGAAUAGCAAUAACAGUGGACAUAGCAGCUGCUUUGGAUUACCUGCAUAACCAUUGCACGCCUCCUAUGACACACUGUGAUCUGAAGCCAAGCAAUGUCCUUCUGGAUGAUGUCAUGGGUGCAUGUGUUGGCGACUUCGGGUUGACUAAGUUCGUACACAGUUAUACUUCAACAAUUGAUGGUUCUACAAGCUUAGUUGGACCAAGAGGAUCAGUUGGAUACAUUGCACCAGAAUAUGGCUUUGGGAGCAAAAUCUCCACUGAGGGUGAUGUAUACAGCUAUGGAGUUAUCAUCUUAGAAAUGCUCACAGGAAAGCGUCCAACUGAUGAGAUGUUUAAAGAUGGCCUGAGCCUUUACAAUUUUGUGGAAAAAUCAUUUCCUGAAAAGAUUGGUGAGAUUCUAGAUCCGAGAAUCAUUCCCUGUUAUGCGGACCAAGAUGAAGAAGCAGGAAGGGCUGUGCACCAAGAAAAUCAUCAUCAAAUGGCUGGAAUGAGCUGCAUCAUCAGGCUUGUUAAGAUUGGCCUCAUGUGUGCUGCGGAGACACCUAAAUAUCGUCCCUCGAUGCAAGACGUUUAUAUUGAAGUCACCGCAAUCAAAGAAGCAUUUUCAUCACUGCAGGGUUGA
rnacentral:rRNA from 1 species